AUGUAUUAUGAUUUCGUUGCAGGCAGCAGUUCUUCCUGUACCGGUGCUGCAGCGGAAUUGCCUGCUCAUCUUGAUGGAGUGGCUGCUGAAGCUUCUGGCGCUGCUAGCCAGCGCCAUGAGCUCCCUGAAGGUGUCUUUACGCCAGCAAAGGAUGUGUUGGUGACUUUCCCUUCAUUACCUUUUGAACUGUGUCCACGCCAGAUUUCCAGUUCGUCUGAAGCACUGCUCUUAUACAUAUGUUGUUAUUACAGGAAACCUAGACGCAGAAUGAACAUGUUGAUGAUACAUCAGAGUGAGUGA
rnacentral:rRNA from 1 species